rnacentral:rRNA from 1 species
UUUUUGUGGAAAUUCUUUCGGGAAUGGAAAUGAAAUGAAAGUGGCGAACGGGUGAGUAACACGUGAGCAACCUACCUUACACAGGGGGAUAGCCGUUGGAAACGACGAUUAAUACCGCAUGAGACCACAGAAUCGCAUGAUAUAGGGGUCAAAGAUUUAUCGGUGUAAGAAGGGCUCGCGUCUGAUUAGCUAGUUGGAAGGGUAAAGGCCUACCAAGGCGACGAUCAGUAGCCGGUCUGAGAGGAUGAACGGCCACAUUGGAACUGAGACACGGUCCAAACUCC